CAGGGAUUGCCUUAGUAACGGCGAGUGAAGCGGCAAUAGCUCAAAUUUGAAAUCUGGCGCUUGCGUCCGAGUUGUAAUUUGCAGAGGAUGAUUUUGGUUAGGUACCUUCCGAGUUCCUUGGAACAGGACGCCUUAGAGGGUGAGAGCCCCGUACGGUUGGAUGCCGAGCCUUUGUAAAUCUCCUUCGACGAGUCGAGUAGUUUGGGAAUGCUGCUCUAAAUGGGAGGUAAAUUUCUUCUAAAGCUAAAUACCGGCCAGAGACCGAUAGCGCACAAGUAGAGUGAUCGAAAGAUGAAAAGCACUUUGAAAAGAGGGUUAAAUAGCACGUGAAAUUGUUGAAAGGGAAGGAUUUAUGACCAGACUUUUUCUAGGAGGAUCAUCCGGUGUUCUCACCGGUGCACUUCUUCUAGUUUAGGCCAGCAUCGACUUUCGGCGGUGGAUAAAAGCUUUAGGAAUGUGGCUCCUCUCGGGGAGUGUUAUAGCCUAUUGUAUAAUACACUGCUGGGGGUCGAGGUACGCGCUUCUGCAAGGAUGCUGGCGUAAUGGUUAUCAAUCACCCGUCUUGAAACACGGACCAAGGAGUCGAACAUUUGUGCAAGUGUUUGGGUGUUAAACCCUCACGCGUAAUGAAAGUGAACGGAGGUGAGAGCCCUUACGGGUGCAUCAUCGACCGAUCCUGAUGUUUUCGGAUGGAUUUGAGUAAGAGCAUAACUGUUCGGACCCGAAAGAUGGUGAACUAUGCGUGGAUAGGGUGAAGCCAGAGGAAACUCUGGUGGAGGCUCGCAGCGGUUCUGACGUGCAAAUCGAUCGUCAAAUCUGCGCAUGGGGCGAAAGACUAAUCGA
rnacentral:rRNA from 1 species